rnacentral:rRNA from 1 species
CUACUCCUACGGGAGGCAGCAGUGGGGAAUAUUGCACAAUGGGCGCAAGCCUGAUGCAGCCAUGCCGCGUGUGUGAAGAAGGCCUUCGGGUUGUAAAGCACUUUCAGCGAGGAGGAAGGUGGUGAGCUUAAUACGCUCAUCAAUUGACGUUACUCGCAGAAGAAGCACCGGCUAACUCCGUGCCAGCAGCCGCGGUAAUUA